rfam:Flavobacterium sp. CF136 PMI10_contig111.111, whole genome shotgun sequence.
AAUGGGAAAGCCGAAAACCACUAUAAUAGAGUAGGCA